rnacentral:rRNA from 1 species
UACGUAGGGUGCGAGCGUUGUCCGGAAUUACUGGGCGUAAAGAGCUCGUAGGUGGUUUGUCGCGUUGUUCGUGAAAACUCACAGCUCAACUGUGGGCGUGCGGGCGAUACGGGCAGACUGGAGUACUGCAGGGGAGACUGGAAUUCCUGGUGUAGCGGUGGAAUGCGCAGAUAUCAGGAGGAACACCGGUGGCGAAGGCGGGUCUCUGGGGAGUAACUGACGCUGAGGAGCGAAAGCGUGGGGAGCGAACAGG